CUUUUUUACAAAAUGUACCUGUAAUCUGAUUAUUUUGUUUUCUGACGUAACUGUAACAGAUUACAGCUACCUGUUUUUUGUAUCGUGAUUACGUAACACCGUUACACGUACUCCGUUACUCCCCAAGCCUGCUCACGGUACAUCAGACAUGCACUUAGCAGGAUCAUUAAUCCCUUAUAUUCCAUUCGGGGCAAAUGAUACUUUAAAAGACUUCCAGUAGGAAUAGUCAUACUUUUGGCUAUUUUUCUGUUUACAUUCAUGUUUAUAAAUCAUAUUUAAAUUGCAGGUAAGAGCUGAUGGGCGGGGCCAGGUGUAUGACCCGAGAGCUGAUGGGAGGGGCCAGGUGUAUGACUUUCGAAAGCUGAGGGGAGCGGCCAGGUAUAUAAAUCUAGUGAGUGUGGGGGGCAGGGCCAGGUGUAUGACUUUCGAAAGCUGAGGGGAGCGGCCAGGUAUAUAAAUCUAGUGAGUGUGGGGGGCAGGGCCAGGUGCAUGACUCUCGAAAGCUGAGGGGAGCGGCAGGUAUAUAAAUCUAGUGAGUGUGGGGGCAGGGCCAGGUGCAUGACUCUCGAAAGCUGAGGGAGGGGCCAGGUGUAUAAUCUAGUGAGUGUGGGGGCAGGGCCAGGUGCAUGACUCUCGAAGUGAGGGAGGGGCCAG
ensembl:lncRNA